UACGGAGGGGGCUAGCGUUGUUCGGAAUUACUGGGCGUAAAGCGCACGUAGGCGGCUUUGUAAGUUAGAGGUGAAAGCCCGGAGCUCAACUCCGGAACUGCCUUUUAGACUGCAUCGCUUGAAUCCAGGAGAGGUGAGUGGAAUUCCGAGUGUAGAGGUGAAAUUCGUAGAUAUUCGGAAGAACACCAGUGGCGAAGGCGGCUCACUGGACUGGUAUUGACGCUGAGGUGCGAAAGCGUGGGGAGCAAACAGG
rnacentral:rRNA from 1 species